UGCAGUCGAGCGAAUGGAUUAAGAGCUUGCUCUUAUGAAGUUAGCGGCGGACGGGUGAGUAACACGUGGGUAACCUGCCCAUAAGACUGGGAUAACUCCGGGAAACCGGGGCUAAUACCGGAUAACAUUUUGAACCGCAUGGUUCGAAAUUGAAAGGCGGCUUCGGCUGUCACUUAUGGAUGGACCCGCGUCGCAUUAGCUAGUUGGUGAGGUAACGGCUCACCAAGGCAACGAUGCGUAGCCGACCUGAGAGGGUGAUCGGCCACACUGGGACUGAGACACGGCCCAGACUCCUACGGGAGGCAGCAGUAGGGAAUCUUCCGCAAUGGACGAAAGUCUGACGGAGCAACGCCGCGUGAGUGAUGAAGGCUUUCGGGUCGUAAAACUCUGUUGUUAGGGAAGAACAAGUGCUAGUUGAAUAAGCUGGCACCUUGACGGUACCUAACCAGAAAGCCACGGCUAACUACGUGCCAGCAGCCGCGGUAAUACGUAGGUGGCAAGCGUUAUCCGGAAUUAUUGGGCGUAAAGCGCGCGCAGGUGGUUUCUUAAGUCUGAUGUGAAAGCCCACGGCUCAACCGUGGAGGGUCAUUGGAAACUGGGAGACUUGAGUGCAGAAGAGGAAAGUGGAAUUCCAUGUGUAGCGGUGAAAUGCGUAGAGAUAUGGAGGAACACCAGUGGCGAAGGCGACUU
rnacentral:rRNA from 1 species